AACGUUUUUGAAAAGAAUUCUCGUUUUUUCUUUUUUUUUUUGCCAAUUUUAAUUAUUUUAAUUAUUUUCUUCAGAUUCUUUCUAUUCUAUGUAACUAUGAAAGGUUGACUAGAUUGAUUGACUGAAUCAUAAGAAAAGAUCCUUAGAUCUAUGAACUUCAAUGAUUACCAAGGAUGAAUCGAGUUUUAACGAGAAAAAUGGCAUUUGGCGUGAAUCAAGUUCUAAAGCUAA
rnacentral:lncRNA from 1 species